AAUUUACUUUUAAGGUGAAGAUGCCUAAUUGUUAAUGAAAGACGAGAAGACCCUAUAGAGCUUAAAUUAAGCUUUUUUUUAUUAGUUUCUAUUUAUUAGGUUGAAUAAUAUUGAUUGAGUUAAUUUUUGUUGGGGUGACAUUUAAAUUUUAUUUGGUUUUAAAAUACGAUAAAGAUACUUUUUAAUUUAUAAUAAUUUAUUUAAAACGAUCCAAUAAUAUUGAUCUCAGGACUAAGUUACCUUAGGGUUAACAGCAUAAUCUCUUUUGAGAGUUCUUAUCGACGAAGAGGAUUGUGACCUCGAUGUUGGAUUA
rnacentral:rRNA from 1 species